CGGACGGGUGAGUAAUGUCUGGGAAACUGCCUGAUGGAGGGGGAUAACUACUGGAAGCGGUAGCUAAUACCGCAUAACGUCGCAAGACCAAAGAGGGGGACCUUCGGGCCUCUUGCCAUCGGAUGUGCCCAGAUGGGAUUAGCUAGUAGGUGGGGUAAAGGCUCACCUAGGCGACGAUCCCUAGCUGGUCUGAGAGGAUGACCAGCCACACUGGAACUGAGACACGGUCCAGACUCCUACGGGAGGCAGCAUG
rnacentral:rRNA from 1 species